rfam:Haemonchus contortus, ISE/inbred ISE, WGS project CAVP01000000 data, contig: Hcontortus_2663
GGCCCAAAUUUGAAGUAGAGUGAAUUAGGAGGAUCAUCCGACCCUACUAAACGACACUACUUCGAGUUUGUGCCC